rnacentral:rRNA from 1 species
UAGUCCACGCCGUAAACGAUGAGUGCUAGAUGGCGGGAAAUUAUUUCUCGGCUUCGUAGCUAACGCAUUAAGCACUCCGCCUGGGGACUACGAUCGCAAGAUUAAAACUCAAAGGAAUUGACGGGGGCUCGCACAAGCGGUGGAGCAUGUGGUUUAAUUCGACGCAACGCGAAGAACCUUACCAGGUCUUGACAUCCUCAGAACUUUCCAGAGAUGGAUUGGUGCCUUCGGGAACUGAGAGACAGGUGCUGCAUGGCUGUCGUCAGCUCGUGUCGUGAGAUGUUGGGUUAAGUCCCGUAACGAGCGCAACCCUUAUCCUUAGUUGCCAGCACGUAAUGGUGGGAACUCUAGGGAGACUGCCGGUGACAAACCGGAGGAAGGUGGGACGACGUCAAGUCAUCAUGGCCCUUACGACCUGGGCUACACACGUGCUACAAUGGCCGGUACAGAGGGCAGCGAAACCGCGAGGUGGAGCAAAUCUCGCAAAACUGCUCGUAGUCCGGAUUGG